GCCUGGGUAGCCCAAUUCUGGUAGAGGCGGCCGGCUCAGACCCGGCAGGUUGAGGGUUCGAGUCCCUCCCCAGGCACCA
rnacentral:tRNA from 1 species